UAUUGGCAGUCACAUUAUUACAAACCAAAGCAGGUUCAAAAAGGAAGUAUGGGCAAGGCACUGUGAUUCUUCUUAAUAAAUUUGUGAUCUUUCAGAUCUUCUGGGAUGAUAUCUUGCCUCGUGUAUUAAAAUUGCAGGCAAAGAGGAGUCGUGGGCGGACACCAACUCCAGGCCGGUACCGUGGUUUAAGAGAGAGGCGAGGACGUGGUCACAGACGAUCUCGUAGCUAUUCACCUCGCCGAUUGCAUGACAGAGAGCCAUAUGGCCGAGAGAGACGGGGAAGAUCUCGUUCCCCUAAUUACAGUAGGAAGACAGAUGAGUAUCAUGAGUCUUAUAGACGACGAAGGGAACGCUCUUUAUCUGCAGGAGGUAGUGGUUACCAGAGAUAAAAGAAAGCACUCUUGUUAACUUCUCCACCCGCUUUACCAGCGCACCCAAUGAACUUGAUGGGGUUGGUUCUUUUUUCUGGAUGAGUUAGUGAUGUUUCUUCUUUCCCUAGAGGUAAAACUUCUCACUGUCUCUAUUGGAGAGAGGAGAAUAUCUGAUUGAUUGUAUCAUGAUGUUGCUUGCCCUUGUCAAUGACUAUGCUAAAAUAUGGUUUGUAAUGCAGGCCCUAAUGUUGUGUAGUGAGAUAUUGUAAAGGCAUUUUUGUAGUUAGAUACUGUCUGUUUCCUA